rnacentral:misc_RNA from 1 species
GAACAAUACUACUUUUUGUUUCUAAAUAAGAAGAUCCCUCUCUAAAACUAAUAAAUCUCUAGCAAAUUGCUUUUUUUAAUCUAUCCAAACAGAUUAAAACAUAGAUUAAAGAAAAAGAGGAUAACUCUGAUUUACUGUGAUUUUAAAUUUCUAUCUUCAAUGCUUAUGUAAUUUUAAAAGAGCCACCCUAAUUUGUUAAUAUUUUUUUAUUUUUUGUUCCCUCAAGUCCUCAUAAAAAAGACCACAAUUUAAAUAGUAGAGUCACUUCAAUUUGGCUUCAUCUUAGCUUCUCUUUCCUCCAAGGCUUAGGAAAAGCUUAAAACCAAAUCAACCCUCGACUUUCUCCUAAUGAUAAGCCAUAAGAAAAAAAUUGCUACUUCUUUGAUUUGUAGCUCUGAUUUAGUCCCUUGUCAUUAUUUUCUUGUUUUCUUUCAAAAAGAAAAAAAAAAUACUGUUUUUUUAGCAGAAGAUCAUGUCUAUGCUUGUAUUUUCUUUAGAGCUGCAUAUAUCAAAAUGUUAAAAUAUAGAAAAAAAAUGUAUACCUUAAGAUCCUGAAACAACCACUAAACUACAAAGGCAAAAAAAGAAAACCUUAAAUAGGAACACACUCAAAAACAAAAGGAAUAAUACAAACAAUUUUAGGCCUUAAAAGGAGAAGAGCAUAUUGCUUGAGCAUUAAAGAAGGAAGAGUUUCUAUUAAAAAAAAGAAACUCAAUAACCUAAAAGAAGUGAUUACCUCACCAUGCUACUGUAAUUGUCAAUAGAGAUGCCAUCAAAAAACAAAGCAAACUGUACAUCUCUGCCAUGAGGUGACACAAAGGUGGCUUCUUACUAUUAACCUUAGGGAAGGCAAAAUUUUUAAGUACCAAAAAGUCCUCAUUCCUUACAAAAACACCACGUUCUCUUUUUUUUUUUUUACUAUUCACAAUGAGCAUGCAAAACAAAUAGAAUGGAAGAGUUAAAUAAUGCUAAUCUCAUUAUAAUGUUUUUUAUAUUCAUUUGGAACACACAUUAGCUUACACAUGGCUCUUUUUGCGUCUUGCUUGAAAGAGUUGCUACAAUAUU